rnacentral:rRNA from 1 species
CAAUAGCGUAUAUUAAAGUUGUUGCAGUUAGAACGCUCGUAGUCGGAUUUCGGGGCGGGCCGACCGGUCUGCCGAUGGGUAUGCACUGGUCGGCGCGUCCUUCCUUCCGGAGACCGUCCCUACUCUUAACUGAGCGGGGGCGGGAGACGGGACUUUUCCUUUGAAAAAAUCAGAGUGUUUCAAGCAGGCAGCUCGCUCUUGCAUGGAUUAGCAUGGGAUAAUGAAAUAGGACUUUGGUGCUAUUUUGUUGGUUUCGAACACCGAAGUAAUGAUGAGAAGGGACAGUCAGGGGCACUCGUAUUCCGCCGAGAGAGGUGAAAUUCUCAGACCAGCGGAAGACGAACCACUGCGAAAGCAUUUGCCAGGGAUGUUUUCACUGA